rnacentral:tRNA from 1 species
UCCCUGGUGACUCAGCUGGUAAAGAAUCUACCUGCAAUGCAGGAGACCCAGGUUCGAUCCCUGGGUGGGGAA